rnacentral:rRNA from 1 species
AAUGAACGUUGGCGGCGUGGAUUAGGCAUGCAAGUCGAGCGCUCAUCAGCAAUGGUGGGAGCGGCGAACGGCGUAGUAAUGCAUCGGAACGUACCCUCUGGACGGGGAUAGCCACGGGAAACUGUGGGUAAUACCCGAUAAUCUCUGCGGAGCAAAGGUGUGAUUCCGCCGGAGGAGCGGCUGAUGUGAUAUUAGCUAGUUGGUGGGGUAAAGGCCUACCAAGGCGAUGAUGUCUAGGGGGUGUGAGAGCAUGGCCCCCACGACCGGAACUGAGAUACUGUCCGGACACCUACGGGUGGCUGCAGUCGGGAAGUCUUCCGCAAUGGACGAAAGUCUGACGGAGCGACGCCGCGUGCGGGAGUGAAGGCCCUUGGGUUGUAAACCGACUGUCAGAGGGGAGUGAAAGUACGUCGGGGGUACGUCCCCCGACUGUUGACAGAGCCUCAAAGGAAGCAC